rfam:Ovis aries breed Texel chromosome 2, whole genome shotgun sequence.
UCCCUGGUGGUCCAGUGGUUAGGACUCUGCACUUUCACUUCUGAGGGUCCAGUUUCAAUUCCUGGUCAGGGAA